UAAGAUUUGCUACCUGGCAAGGAAGAGCACAGAACUACUGUGAAGAAGAAGAGAAAUAUGUGAAUCUGGUUAGGUCUUAGAGAAAAGGGAAGUUGUGGUAGCAAUGGAUUCUGAAUGCUGGUAGAAAAAAAAAAGAAAAUACAGGAAGAGAAGGCAGCAAUCCUUGAGGAAAGAAACAGUCAGCAAGGCCAACAGAUACAGAGAAGAAGCAAUGUAAAAAGUGCUGCAGGAUAGAAAUGGUGGAAAGGUGAGAGGGAGAAAAAAGAAGGAAGACGUACAAGGAGACCCCUGAAUCCAAAGG